AGCAACUUGCUUAAAACUCAAAGGACUUGACGGUGUUUCGAACCCGCCUAGAGGAGCCUGUCCUAUAAUCGACAACACACGAUCCACCCAACCAUCUUUUGCCCUAAACAGCCUGUAUACCGCCGUCGCAAGCUUAGCCCAUGAGGGACAAGUACCUAGCACAAUAACUCACUUCUGAGCUAGUACGUCAGGUCAAGGUGCAGCCAAUAAGUUGGUAGAGAUGGGCUACAUUUUCUACACUAUAGAAACCAGUCACGGAGAGGCCUGUGAAACCAGGACUGUCAAAGACGGAUUUAGCAGUAAAUCAGGAGAAGAGUGCCUAAUUGAAGACGGCCCCGAAAUAUGUACACACCGCCCGUCACCCUCCUCGAAUUUAACCCAAUUUAUGCUACAUAACACACAUAGCAUUCAAUGAGAUGAGGAAAGUCGUAACAAGGUAAGCGUACCGGAAGGUGUGCUUGGAACAUCAAAAUGUAGCUUAAACCAAAGCAUUCUGCUUACACCUGAAACAUGUUUACUUAAAUAAACCAUUUUGAUUAACCCGCUCUAGCCCUCAAAAUUCUAACACGAAUCAAAUAAAUCACACUAAACCAAAACAUUUUUAUGCCUAAGUAUCGGUGAGAGAAAAGACAACAGGCGCGAUAGAGACAGUACCGCAAGGGAAAGAUGAAAUAAAAAUUUAACACAAAAGUAUAACACAGCAAAGAUUAACCCUUU
rnacentral:rRNA from 1 species